rnacentral:rRNA from 1 species
AGGUGCGAUCAUACCAACAUUAAUGCAUCGUAUCGCAUCGAAAAUCUACAGUUAAGCGUGCUUGGGCUAGAGUAGUACUGGGAUGGGUGACCUCCCAUGAAGUCCUAGUGUUUCACCCU